UUUUCUUCUCACAAAGUGUGUUUCCCAGCACAAAAAAGCCUGGCUUUCCAGGAGCGGCACCCACUUUCUGAAGAGUUUACUUGCAUUGGGCGUCGGAGUUUAGGAUAACUCCAUUCAAGGCAGAUUUCUCUCCCAGAGAAAGCAACCUGAUGAAUCAGAAGGGAUGUUGUGGCAAAUGCUAUCAGAUGCCCCGCCACCCCGCUUCAGCAGAGGAGGAAGCUUCUGCUCUAGUCCGCACCAUCCUGCAAUCAAUCAGGACAACCUGUGCGAACGCAAAGGCGAGGUGAGUAAUCAGCACCAUUGCUUUGCCCCAGACAAAGUCCCUCCAUCAGGUUUUCCAGCUUGAUGUGGACCUCACUACACAAACUGUGAUGCCUUCUGGGUCAGCAGAAACCUAUGUUUAGCACACCCAUGUGUGUUGUUCAGAAAACUGUGCAAAUCUCUCACACUAUUCCCCCAUGAGUUGAUAGAUGUGGUCACUGACGGUUAAUUCACUCUUAGACAUGGGGAAUGCAUGUAAAUCAAUGGUCUUAGCUGUUAUUUUAAAAUGUGUAUUAUUGCAUUCCCAUGGCACUGGGUCUUAUGAACAGAAGGUUUAGCCAGACAGGUAGAAAAAUUGUUGGGCACAUUCCCCCACACUGGACUCCAGGACCUCACCCCCGAUUCUUUGUUGAAAUGCGUUUUCAAAGAGAUAAGUUGGCUUUGAUAUUGAAGUUAAGUUUCCCCUGAGUCAAGGGUUUAUUCACUCAUCCUUUGAACAAAUAUUUAGUGAGAACCAUGUACUAUACCAGAGCAUUGCUAGACAUUGGGGAGGCAGCGAUGAAGAAGACAUAGCUUUCCCUCCUGUGGAGCUGGCAUUCGAGACCCAUUCUAAGGUAGAGAGUCUGUUGACAUCACUCUCAGGAGAAAAUCAAAUGCUUGAAAGCUGGUUGAUUUUUCCCAUGGAUGAACAGAUCCCAGCACCCACGAUAUGAGUUUAUCACUUCCCAGAAAUCAGC
rnacentral:lncRNA from 1 species